AAUAGCCCCGUAACUUUGGGAGAAGGGGUGUCUCUUCAUAUCACAAAGGGGGUCGCAGUGACCAGGCCCGGGCAACUGUUUACCAAAAACACAGGUCUCUGCAAAGUCGUAAGACCAUGUAUAGGGGUUAACGCUUACCCAGUGCCAAAAGGUCAAAAAAGUUGGUGACCUGAUGACAGAGGAGCUGACGACCGAAGCCCCAGUAAACGGCGACCAUAACUAUAAAUCAAGCGUUGGUUGGGAGGAAACCCAAUAUUUUAUUGUCACUUUGUCUUCGUUUUUG
rnacentral:ncRNA from 1 species